CUGCGGGUAUAUGUUUAAGUUCUCAUGCCACGGCCAUUGAACAAGAAAGACACAAACAGGGAGGAUUACGGUAUUGUGAUUAGUCCCGUGCAAGAUAGAAAGAGCAGAUCUAACCCGUCUAUCUGAAGCACUUAUAAUGGUUAUAUCAUUGGCCUGCUUUGGAAUCUACCGUUUCCAAUCACCAAUAUAUAUAAGCACUGAGCAUACAUGAGAAAGGAAGCAAAUACCAAUCCCUUCCAUGGAAGUUCCAAGUGAGGAGAACCAAAUGGACAGCCCAAAGAAGUGUCUCCGAGUGAUCCUCUUCCCGGUCCCCUUACAAGGCCACAUAAACCCACUCAUUCAGCUUGCAGGCAUCUUAUACUCUCGGGGCUUCUCGAUCUCCAUAAUUCAAUUUGGCUUCAAUUCCAUCAACCCUUCCACUUACCCUCACUUCAACUUCCACUCCAUCCUGCCCACCCUGUCUGAGACCGAUGCCAACACAGGGGAUGUCAUAGCUUUUGCGCUGAAGCUUAACUGCUGCUGCUUUUCUCCGUUUAGGGAAUGUUUCUCAAAUAUUCUGUCAGAUACUUCAAAGGGUCGGAUCGCCUGUCUGAUAACUGAUGCAGCCUGGUACUUCACUCAAGCUAUUGCGGAUGAGUAUAACAUCCGGAGGUUGGCUGUGCGGACAACAAGCAUCUGCUCUUUUCUUGCCUUCGCUGCCCUUCCGCUUCUCCGUGAAAAAGGUUAUAUUCCUCUAGAAGAGUCUCGAUUAGAAGAGCCUAUUCCUGAGCUCACACCAUGCAAGAUCAAGGACAUCCACAUGAUCAAGUCGGGAAACUUCGAGGACAUCUUCAGGUACGUAACCAACGUGGUCAGAGGAAACAGGGCCUCUUCCGGACUUAUCUGGAAUACAUUCGAGGACCUCGAACGGGCUAAGAUAGCAGAGUUUUCUCGGGAAUCCCCAGCUCCUGUUUUCCCGAUAGGCCCAUUUCAUAAGUACUGCCUUGCCUCCUCCAGUAGCUUACUAGAACCUGACAAAAGCUCGCUUUCGUGGCUUGAGAAGCAAGCCACCAACUCCGUUAUUUAUGUGAGCUUUGGUAGUCUCGCAGUGAUUAAUGAGAAGGAGUUCCAGGAGAUAGGUUGGGGGCUUGUCAAUAGCAAGCAGCCAUUUCUGUGGGUGGUCCGCCCCGGGUUGGUCCCUGGGGUUCAACGGCUUGACCGGCUUCUUGAAGGAUUCCUCAAGGUGGCAGGGGAGAGGGGACUUGUGGUCAAGUGGGCCCCGCAGCAGGCAGUCCUGGCCCACCAAGCCACAGGUGGGUUCUGGACACACGGUGGGUGGAACUCGACUCUGGAAAGCAUCUGUGAAGGGGUCCCAAUGAUCUGCCAGCCAGCCUUUGGGGACCAGAGGGUGAACACAAGAUACGUGAGUGAUGUGUGGAGGGUGGGGAUCCACUUGGAGAAUCGUAUCGAAAGGGGAGAGAUCCAGAGGACAAUCAGGAGGCUGAUGGGGAGUGAAGAAGGGGAGGAGAUGAGAGGGAGGAUCAGGAGUCUCAAGGAGAAGGGAGAGGCUUGUCUUCGACCCGGAGGGGCUUCAUACAAGUCUCUUGAUAGACUGACCGAUUACAUAUCAGAAAUCUGAAUGACUAAGCAGCUGAAUUCGAGUUCUGGUGGUGAAACUCUGGGCAAGAUUCAUAAGAAGCUGGAUGAGCAAGAAUUUCUAGCUUAAAGAUCGAAAUCGAACCUGUUAAUAAUCAGAACGAAAGCUGCAGUUUCCAAGCAGGUCUGCCUAGCUAUUCUUUUUAAUCCAAGCUGUUCGGCAAUGAGUUCAACAUUCGGAGGCUGAUAUUAUGGACUACACUGUUGGCUCGUUUCUUCACUUUGCUGCGCUCCCAAACCUCUAACUCCAAGAUUUAUACAUCACGCAAAAGAGAUAUCCAUGUUCUUUACAUAUUAGUGAAGAAGGAUAGAUGAGAUCCUGGUUUUAUGAUAUCUCAUCUGGAUGCAGUUUCUCCUCCUCUGGUCCAUCUCGACGUGAUCAGAAAGGGCAACUUGGAGGACAUCUCUGGUUUAUGACCGUCCGAGGCGUCUUCAGGAGCUAUCUAUCAGGAACACAUUCGAAGAAUCCGACUGGACCAAACAGAAUA